CCUACGGGCGGCAGCAGUGGGGAAUAUUGGACAAUGGGCGAAAGCCUGAUCCAGCCAUGCCGCGUGUGUGAAGAAGGUCUUCGGAUUGUAAAGCACUUUAAGUUGGGAGGAAGGGCAGUUACCUAAUACGUGAUUGUUUUGACGUUACCGACAGAAUAAGCACCGGCUAACUCUGUGCCAGCAGCCGCGGUAAUACAGAGGGUGCAAGCGUUAAUCGGAAUUACUGGGCGUAAGGCGCGCGUAGGUGGUUAGUUAAGUUGGAGGUAAAAUCCCGGGGCUCAACCUGGGAACUGCAUUCAAAACUGCCGGACUAGAGUAUGGUAGAGGGUGGUGGAAUUUCCUGUGUAGCGGUAAAAUGCGUAGAUAUAGGAAGGAACACCAGUGGCGAAGGCGACCACCUGGACUGAUACUGACACUGAGGUGCGAAAGCGUGGGGAGCAAACAGGAUUAGAUCCCCUUGUAGU
rnacentral:rRNA from 1 species